AAAGACCAUCUUCCGAUUCUUCUCCACCGACCCAUUCAACUCCUUUACCAUGACUCGCGGAAAUCAGAGGGAAAAGGAUCGGGAAAGAGCUGCAGCUCGUGCUGGUAAAAGCAAGAAGGGAGCUGAUGAUGGUUUGACUCCUGAGCAGCGCCGUGAAAGGGAUGCGAAAGCUCUGCAAGAGAAGGCUGCAAAGAAAGCAGCAAAAGAGGCUGCCGGAGGUAGCAAUGCUGGAACUAAGGAUACCAAGAAAUAGAAAGCUAGGUGUUGUGUACUUCAUUGCAGUCAGUAAUUUGUCAUUCCCCUUUGUUUGUCAUGUUAUUCACUGUUUAAAUCUUGUGAUGCACUACAACUUAAUACGUCUGAAUUGUCAAUCCAUUCGGUUUUGAACUAUCUCGUCUUUCUUUUGAUAUGAUAAACUCCACCCCCAAAUCACCUGUGUUUCAGUUGUUGCAAUACUUAUGUCAAUUGUGCUGAUAUAGAGUUGUAAUGCACCUUGUGCGUAGAAUUUUAUGCAAUGGCAAAGGCAGGGUAAAUGUGAUAUCGAU
rnacentral:misc_RNA from 1 species